rnacentral:rRNA from 1 species
GACAGAGGGUGCUAGCGUUGUUCGGAAUUACUGGGCGUAAAGGGCGCGCAGGCGGUCGUUCAAGUCGCGUGUGAAAGCCCCCGGCUCAACUGGGGAGGGUCACGCGAUACUGAUCGACUCGAAGGCAGGAGAGGGUAGUGGAAUUCCCGGUGUAGUGGUGAAAUGCGUAGAUAUCGGGAGGAACACCAGUGGCGAAGGCGACUACCUGGCCUGUUCUUGACGCUGAGGCGCGAAAGCUAGGGGAGCAAACGGG